GGUUGGUAAAUGGUUGGCAGGCGCACUUGUGCAUACGUGGGCCUCUGUGAAGAACUUGCACAAUGCCUGGAAUUGUAUAUUGUGCACAACCUUGUUCUGACACAACGGAAGACCUUCAUCCUAUUGCUCACUCGAUGGCUCUCUGAAAGUAGCUUUGCACUCCCUAGCAUUGCAGGAGCCAGGUGUGCAUUUUAUAAUACGCCUAUUAUACAGCCAUUCUCCGUAGCCAUUGCUUAUACAAUGACCCUUCUGAUUUGUCCCACUACGGUGUGGGUGUCAACGACUUAGGUCCUCACCCAGUACAACUUUAGGUAUGCAUUUCACAUAUAUUUGCAGGCAAAAAAUGCACCUCCCUCCUCUUCUCUCUUUGUUUCAAGACAAACAAAAGUAACUGGCAUUUCACCCCGCCCUCCCCCCUCCAGCCCCCAACUACAUGUGCCUGCAGCACGGGCGCCCUAGAAAGGGAAACCUGUUUUCCUCCUCCCAGGUUUCUGGUUUCUCCACCUAGUCUCCCCACAGUCCUUCACUGCCCGCACCCAGAGUCCUUCCGGCCUCUACCCAGACUCUGAGAAGUGGCCCGACAUUCCAGGUAACCUGAUUCCCCAGACGGGAUAGGCGGCGGCCUGCUGCUGCGAAGGCGCGACCACGUGACCUUUCCUGCCUGCACCGGGGAAAUGCAUACCUUGUUCAGAAAACUAGGGGACAGCUCCCAACAUGUUCCUUGGAUAUAGCUGGCAUGCAGUGAAUAUUUGUUGAUGGAUAGAUAUUUAUAGAUGUUUUCUUGAAAGCUGUGUACUCUUCAGUUGUAACCCAAAUUUUUAAGUGUUCACAGGCAGAUCUGCUGUUAGAGAAGAAUUCUUUUGCCCUAACUGUGUCUCUGUGAUCUGUGGAUGAGGGUGGGAAAGGACCGCUCAAUCAAUUGGGGUGUACAAAAUGGAGUUUGAGAAGGUAGCUGUUUAUAUGCAUGAUCUCCUGCUGUGAGCUCCUUAAAGUGGUUGGACUGAGUCCCAUGAAGCCAGAUAACUUCUGACUGCAAGGAGCUUGGAAAAGCAAGUAUCUGGAUCUUUUACCAGCUAAAUUUGGAGAUAGGUAUCUACCAGACUGGGGAAGAAGAGGAGAAGAAUGGCUGUUGAGUGCAGAUCAAUUUGUUUCCACUGAAGUCUAUGGAUGAAAUAUUUACGCAUAGCCGAGGUGAUGUCAACGCCUGGCUUACUCCUCUUCCUGUUGGGUUGCAAACACGGCCUUCUCUCACGGUCCUGGAAUGCUGACACGGUCGGGCAGCCAGAGCCUAACACAGGACUUAAGCAGUGGAAGAAAUUCAAUUUCAAUCUAAGACAGAAGAAAACUGCAGAAGAUUGCUACCCAUUCAAGUAGAAAAACUCAAGCUGGAAAAUUAACAGCACAGCUGGAAAGGCUAAUGAACUUAGCAUUUAAAAAUGCUUAUAGAGCUGCCAGAUCUACCCCUUGAUCCCAGAGGUAGCUGUUUUUGACAUAAUCAACCAAUCAUGAAACUUCAGAACCUUUUAAAUAACACAGUGGUGAAAUAGAUUUGUUUAUACCACAACCUUGACAAUUUUUCUCACAAUUGUCUUUCACCACCCAUCAUUUGCUCCUGACAAAGUGCCAUUUCUUAUAUUCUCUUUAAAGAACAAGUGGCAAAUUGACCAGCAAGGUAGCUGGCCAGGGUUAGAACUCUGUUAUUGAAUUCCUAUGGUGGGAGUGAAAACAAAAAUACUGAUGGAUACCCAUGUUAUGCCUACAAUUAACAGAGUAAACAUUUUAAUAGGCAUAGAAGACACAAACAGAUGUUCUAAUUGCAUGUCUGUGAGAAACUGAUGUUUACUAGUUCCACUCUGGCUUGGCCUUUGAGACCUCAGGAAGUUUCUCUCCCAGUGGGGAUUUCAGUGAUUUAUUGAUUUCAGUACAAUGAAUAUUUCAGAAACUCACAGGAUUUUUAAGAGGUUAAAUACAUCCUUACAAAGGUUAGCAUUAUUCACGCUUGAAGGGAAUGCUUACUCUACUUUAACCAGGGUAGCUAUGGCCACAUUUGCCACAUUCUUGCCUAAGUGGGAGAGAAGAUGGAUGGGGUAAUGGAAGGGACUUUCUAAUAGAAAAUGUAGAAAUAAAACAUUGGCACAGAAUUUUUUCUUUUCUUUUCUUUUUUUUUCUUUUCACCUUGAGCUGAACAAAAAAUGAGGGAGGUAUAAGUAACAGCAAACUCCUAAGCAUUCCUGGUUGAAACACUGAGUAGUCUUGAUCCAAACAGUAAAGAUAUUUUUUGGCUCAUAUCUGAAAUUCAGAACCAAAUAAAAAUAAUAAUGCUUGGAAACUGGGAAGUUUUAAAAAUGCUUAAGAAAUGUUUAAUUUAUCACUCACAUUCUGUACUGGUUUUCCAAGUCCAUUCUCUUGUAAUUAUUUGGCUGUUUUU